ensembl:lncRNA
GCAAGAAAUAGAUUUAUUAAGACACUUGUGAGAGAUAUAAGAAGGCAGGCAAAGAAGCUCUUCCCCCUAGCGUUUCUUUAUACUAACAAUAAAAUUAUCCCAUUUACAGUAGCAUCAAAAACAAUAAAAUACUGAGGAAGACAUUUAACCAAGGAAGUGAAAUUCUCUAUUCUGAAAACUGUAAACAAAUCAAAGACACAAAUAAAUGGAAAAGUAUCCUGUGUUCUUGAAUUGGAAGAAUUAAUAUUGUUAAAAUGACCAUACAACCAAAUUCAAUGCAAUUCCCAUUGGAUUCCAAUGGCGUUUUUUACAGCAGUAAAAACAAUCCUAAAAUUUAUAUAGAAUCACAGAGCACACAGAAUAGUCAAUGUAUUCUUGAGAAAUUAGAACAAAAUGGGAGGCAUCACGCUCUGGCCCUCAAGCUAUCCUGUAAAGCUACAAUAAUCUAUAAAGUAUGGUACUUCUAUAAAACCAUACAAAUAGAUCAAUGAAACAAAAUCAAGAGCCCAGAAAUGAACCCAAGCAUAUAUGGGCAAUUACUAUUUGACAAAGGAUCCAAAAAUACUCAGUGGAGAAAAGAUGAUCCCUUCAAUAAAUGGUGCUGGGAAAACUGGAUAUUCAUAUGCAAAAGAAUGAAACUUGACACCUAUCUUAUAACACUCCCUAAAAUUAACUUGAAAUGAUUAAGACAUAAAUGUGAGACCUGAAACCAGGAAACUAGCAGAAGAAAACAGAAAAAAGGCUCAUUGUAUAUCUUGGCAGUGAUUUUUUUGGAUAUAAAUCUAAAGCACAAGCAACAAAAUAAAAAAUAAGAACUACACCAAACUAAAAAGCUUCUGCACAGGGGGAAAACAACUGAUAAAGUGAAAAGGCAAGCUAUGGAAUGGAAAAAAAAUCUGAUAAAGGGUUAAUAUUCAAAAUAAAGCACUCCUACAACUCAACAGCAAAAAUAAAUAAUCCAAUUAAAAGAUAAGCAAAAGACUUGAACAGACAUUUUUCCAAAGAAGAUAUAUGAAAGGGCAAACAAGUACAUGAAAAGAUGCUCAACUGUAAACUGGUACAGUCACUAUGGAAAACGAUAUGGACAAUUUUCAAAAAAUUAAAAAACAGAACUACCAUAUGAUCCAGCAAUUUCAUUGCUGAGAAUAUAUACAAAGGAGAGGAAACACUAACUCAAAAAGAUAUCUGUAUCAUGUUCACAGCAACAUUAUUUAAAAUAGCCAAGACAUGGCAACAACCUGUCAACCAAUAGAUGAAUGAACAAAGAAGUACAUACAUUAUGGAAUAGUAUUCAGACAUAAAAAAUGAGCAAUCUUGCCUUUUGCAACAAUAUGAAUGAAAUUGAGGGCAUUAUGCCAAGUGAAAUAAGACAGAGAAAAACAGACACUAUGAUCUCACUUACAUGCAUAGUUAAAUUUAAAAAAUUAGGUAUACAAGCAACGUACUGCAACAUAAUAAAGGCAAUAUGUGAUAAGCCCACAGCUAAUAUAAUACUCAGUGAUGAAAGGUUGAAAGCUUUUCUGCUAAGCUCAAGAACAAGACAAGGGUACCCAUUCUGACCACUUCUACUCAACCUGGUCCUGGGAGUCAUUACAAGAGCAAUGAGGCAAGAAAAAGAAAUAAAAAUUAUCAGAAUUAGAAAUGAAGAAGUAAGUGUCUCUAUAUACAGAUGACAUGAUUUUAGGCAUAGAAAUGUCAGAGAAAAACAGACACCGUAUGAUUUCACUUACAUGCAUAACCUAACAAAUCCUAAAGUCAUAAAAAAAAGAGAUCAGAUUUGUGGUUAACUUCAAGUAGGGGUAGAGGUAGAGGAUGGAUGGGGAAUUGGAGAAAGGUAGUCAAAAGGUACAGUUACAAGAUAUAUAAACACAAGAUAUAUAAAUCAGCAUGUUGUAAACAGCAUGCUGAUUCUAGUUAAUACUGCUGUAUGACUUACAUGAAAGUUUAAGAGUACAAACACUAAAUGCUAUCACAAGGAAAAAUAUUUGUUUUUUGCUUUCUGUUUUUAUUGUAUCUAUAUGGGAUGAUGGAUAAUAAGUAAACUUAUUGUGGUAAUUAUUUCAAGAUAAAUUCAAGUCAAACUACUAUGCUGUAUACUUUAAACUUAUAUAGUGAUACGCAUCAAUUAUAUCAAUAAAACUGGAAAAAAACAGAAAGGGCAAGGAAACUACAUGGCUGCAUUCUCUAAUAUGAAGGAUUGGCGGGAAUGUAGCAAUAUAUGUAAAUGAAAUAAUACAGUAUUAUCGUAAUUGUGUCAAACAUGCUUAAAAAUAGAACUUUAUUAUGUUGGAGCCUUAAAAUAUAAAAGUACUCUGUUAAUGUAAAUAAAGCAAGAAUAAUGCUUUUGGAAUAUAAAAUUUGAGUGUGUUCUACUAGUUCCAAAUUAAGUACAUUUUCUGCAAUACACUGUAUGUGGUAGGGAAUACCUUGUUAAUGAUACUUAGGAAGUGGUUGUAAUAGCGUUUGCAUUUUUAUAACGUAAUUCACACCAUACCAUUCUUGUAGUUGAUUAUUAACUUUUAGAAACUUCUUUGCCUAAUACUGAUGAUGAAAUAACUUCUUCCAUUUGGCAGCACACAUCUACAAAAGUAAAUAUAUAAAUAAUAACAUUUUUUUUUAAAAUGACAGUGAACAGAACUAUGCAUUUAUUUUGAAAAGCAAAUAAUAUAACUAUUGGAUAUUUUAAAAUUUAGUUGUUUAAUGGGAGGUCUUUCAUAUCAGACAAACUUUUUUUUUCAGUCCCCACCAAAUAUUUUACAAAACAUUAUAAAUUUAUGCAUAUGUUCAUUUAGACUACUUAUUAGAAGUUAACUGAAAUUUAUUUUAAAGGUUACAUUUAUUGCUUCUUUAAAUUUUAUUGUGCUUCAUGGGGCCUUAAAAGAGCAUGGCUAAUCCAACAAGACUAAAAUCUCGAAUAGCCCAUCUUCAUUUUAAAUCAAACAUCAAUUAGGAAGUGUUUUACUUAAAGCAGUUGGUU